CCUACGGGAGGCAGCAGUGAGGAAUAUUGGUCAAUGGACGAGAGUCUGAACCAGCCAAGUCGCGUGAAGGAUGACUGCCCUAUGGGUUGUAAACUUCUUUUAUAUGGGAAUAAAACGUUCCACGUGUGGGAUUUUGUAUGUACCAUAUUAAUAAGGAUCGGCUAACUCCGUGCCAGCAGCCGCGGUAAUACGGAGGAUCCGAGCGUUAUCCGGAUUUAUUGGGUUUAAGGGGAGCGUAGGGUGUUUUUUAAGUAAGUUGUGAAAGUUUGGGGCUCAACCGUAAAAUUGCAGUUGAAACUGGCAGUCUUGAGUACAGUAGAGGUGGGCGGAAUUCGUGGUGUAGCGGUGAAAUGCUUAGAUAUCACGAAGAACUCCGAUGGCGAAGGCAGUUCACUGGACUGCAACUGACACUGAGGCUCGAAAGUGUGGGUAUCAAACAGGAUUAGAUACCCCAGUAGUC
rnacentral:rRNA from 1 species